GAUGAACGCUGGCGGCGUGCCUAAUACAUGCAAGUCGAGCGAACAGACGAGGAGCUUGCUCCUCUGACGUUAGCGGCGGACGGGUGAGUAACACGUGGAUAACCUACCUAUAAGACUGGGAUAACUUCGGGAAACCGGAGCUAAUACCGGAUAAUAUAUUGAACCGCAUGGUUCAAUAGUGAAAGACGGUUUUGCUGUCACUUAUAGAUGGAUCCGCGCCGCAUUAGCUAGUUGGUAAGGUAACGGCUUACCAAGGCAACGAUGCGUAGCCGACCUGAGAGGGUGUACGGCGACUCAGGGACUGAGGCACGGUCCUGACUAGGUGGGGAGGAGGCAGUAGGGAUGCAGCCAGAAUGGGCGAGAUCCUGCAGCCAGCACGCCUCGGCAGAGAUGAGGGUAUUCGGAUUGUAAAACACUGUGGUGGGAGAAGAACAAGUGUUUAAGUAGAAUGGCAAGUCUGGUGCGUACCUAAUCACGGUGCCACGGCUGGCUACGUG
rnacentral:rRNA from 1 species